AGGCAGCAGUGGGGAAUAUUGCACAAUGGGGGAAACCCUGAUGCAGCGACGCCGCGUGAGUGAAGAAGUACCUCGGUAUGUAAAGCUCUGUCAGCAGGGAAGAAAGAAAUGACGGUACCUGACCAAGAAGCACCGGCUAAAUACGUGCC
rnacentral:rRNA from 1 species